UGGCGUAAACAGAGGGAAGCGAGCCCGCGAGGGGGAGCAAAUCCCAAAAAAUAACGUCCCAGUUCGGAUUGUAGUCUGGAACUCGACUACAUGAAGCCGGAAUCGCUAGUAAUCGCGAAUCAGAAUGUCGCGGUGAAUACGUUCCCGGGCCUUGUACACACCGCCCGUCACACCAUGAGAGUCGGGAACACCCGAAGCCCGUAGCCUAACUUGCAAGAGAGGGCGCGGUCGAAGGUGGGUUCGAUAAUUGGGGUGAAGUCGUAACAAGGUAAC
rnacentral:rRNA from 1 species